GGAGUGAGUGGCCGCUACUCGUGGGGGGUCGCGCGUGCAUAUGGGUGCGCGGGCGCGUGCGCUGGGAGUGAAGAGGCUGCGCUCGUGCGCGAGCACGGCUCGGCGCGGGCGUGCGGCUGCGCCAAGGCAUGAGGUGGUAAGGCCUGGGUGCGAGCAGGAGUGCGGGGACUCGAGGUCGAGCCGAAGCUCGUCUCGGGUGAGCAGGAUGCGGAGGAACAACACCGCACCUAUGUUGUUGCAGCUCUCUUUCACUUUAGACGACAGUGGGAGAAAGAGCGGAGAUAGAAGAAGCAGUACAGGGACAGACUAUUUCCUUGACGAUGAACGCCACCGGCUGCUCGUACAGCCCCGAGUCUAGCUCAGCUCCAACUGCCUCACGGCUACAGGCACAAGCAUAACACUUAAGUAGUAGAUGCACACGCACAGCUCAUCGGCCACACCGGCCAUUAAUCUAUGCACCUACGCACGACCCGGCCUCACAACCGGCCACUAACCGCACGUACUCAUCCACUCCUAGAAGAGCUCACCUAGCUAACUAACUCAGCCAUGCAUGUAGGAGUAGCAAACUUGGCCAGCACACUCGCCAACGGCCUACUCUACGUGCCAGACUGAGUACACACGCUACACACAUACGCCACGUUGCUGCGUCCCGCACAUCCCGUCCGUCCCGCGUGUCACCGACGCGCCCGAUGAACCCGAUGAGCCCGACGACACCAGUAUGUCCCGCCUGUCCCGUGCGCAUCCGACGCGCCCGACGAGCCCGACCACACACGCCGUGGCUUAUUCCAACACACACCCCCUAAGCCACGACCUAGAGGAGUCCGUCGUCGUCGAUGUUGUAGCCGCCACCGCCCUGAUGUCGCUGCCAAGCCUGCCACCGUGUCGCCGUGCCCUUCGCGUGUAGUCCCCACGUCCCCGCGCUCCCGCCGCGCACAUACGCGAUCUGCGCAACCAGGUCCAGCGCCUCGACGCUGUCCACUCCCGCGGUCCCGACGCGCCCGACGCAUCCGGUGCGCACCCAUAACACGGACCGGUCGCGCCCGGCUCGCCGCCACGCUUAUUGCCCUGCACUGCUACGCCGUCAACCGCAGCGCCGUGCCUCCACGGUCGUCGCGCCGAGCCGCCGCGGCCUCUGUGACGCCACGCAGGUCCUCCGCGACCUCCUCGUCUCCGCGACCGCCCCUGCUCGUCGCGCGCACGGCAUCACGCCACACUGCCGUGGACUCGCCGCGCGUUGCCGACGCCAUGCGCUCGCCGCACGUCGUUGCCAAGACCUUCAUGUCCACCGCGCACCGCGGGCACCGCGGACGCCGCCGUGCGCCACGGCCGCCCCUCGAAUCUGGCUCUGAAUACCAAUUGUUGUUGCAGCUCUCUCUCACUUUAGACGACAGUGGGAGAAAGAGCGGAGGUAGAAGAAGCAGUACAGGGACAGACUAUUUCCUUGGCGACGAACGCCACCGGCUGCUCGUACAGCCCCGAGUCUAGCUCAGCUCCAACUGCCUCACGACUACAGGCACAAGCACAACACUUAAGUAGUAGAUGCACACGCACAGCUCAUCGGCCACACCGGCCACUAAUCUAUGCACAUACGCAUGACCCGGCCUCACAACCGGCCACUAACCGCACGUACUCAUCCACUCCUAGAAGAGCUCACCUAGCUAACUAACUAAGCCAUGCAUGUAGGAGUAGCAAACUUGGCCAGCACACUCGACGAGCCCGACGGCACCAGUGUGUCCCGCCCGUCCCGCGCGCAUCCGACGCGCCCGACGAGCCCGACCACACACGUUGUGGCUUAUUCCAACAACCUACACCACAACAAGACUAUAUCCGGCCACUAAUCUAUGCACCUACGCACGACCCGGCCUCACAACCGGCCACUAACCGCACGUACUCAUCCACUCCUAGAAGAGCUCACCUAGCUAACUAACUAAGCCAUGCAUGUAGGAGUAGCAAACUUGGCCAGCACACUCGCCAACGGCCUGCUCUACGUGCCAGACUGAG
rnacentral:lncRNA from 1 species